CCCUGGUUAGCUCAGUUGGUAGAGCACUCCACUGGAAAUGGAGAGGUUCCGGGGUUCGAUACCCGGACCAGGCG
rnacentral:tRNA from 1 species